rnacentral:rRNA from 1 species
UUCGGUUAAGUUAUGAAGGGCGCACGGUGGAUGCCUUGGCACUAGGAGCCGACGAAGGACGGGACUAACACCGAUAUGCUUUGGGGAGCUGUAAGUGAGCUUUGAUCCAGAGAUUUCCGAAUGGGGGAACCCAUUGUUCGUAAUGGAACAAUAUCCUUACUUGAAUACAUAGAGUAUGGGACUAACACCGAUAUGCUUUGGGGAGCUGUAAGUGAGCUUUGAUCCAGAGAUUUCCGAAUGGGGGAACCCAUUGUUCGUAAUGGAACAAUAUCCUUACUUGAAUACAUAGAGUAUGGAAGGCAGACCCAGGGAACUGAAACAUCUAAGUACCUGGAGGAAGAGAAAGCAAUUGCGAUUCCCUGAGUAGCGGCGAGCGAAACGGGAUGUAGCCCAAACCAAGAGGCUUGCCUCUUGGGGUUGUAGGACACUCUAUACGGAGUUACAAAGGAAUGAAGUAGAYGAAGAAGUCUGGAAAGGCUCGUCAAAGAAGGUAACAACCCUGUAGUUGAAACUUCAUUCYCUCUUGAGUGGAUCCUGAGUACGGCGGGACACGUGAAAUCCCGUCGGAAGCUGGGAGGACCAUCUCCCAAGGCUAAAUACUCCCUAGUGACCGAUAGUGAACCAGUACCGUGAGGGAAAGGUGAAAAGCACCCCGGAAGGGGAGUGAAAUAGAACCUGAAACCGUGUGCCUACAAGUAGUCAGAGCCCGUUAACGGGUGAUGGCGUGCCUUUUGUAGAAUGAACCGGCGAGUUACGAUCCCAUGCAAGGUUAAGUCGAURAGACGGAGCCGCAGCGAAAGCGAGUCUGAAUAGGGCGAAUUGAGUAUGUGGUCGUAGACCCGAAACCAGGUGAUCUACCCAUGUCCAGGAUGAAGUUCAGGUAACACUGAAUGGAGGUCCGAACCCACGCACGUUGAAAAGUGCGGGGAUGAGGUGUGGGUAGCGGAGAAAUUCCAAUCGAACUUGGAGAUAGCUGGUUCUCUCCGAAAUAGCUUUAGGGCUAGCCUCAUGUGUAAGAGUCUUGGAGGUAGAGCACUGUUUGGACUAGGGGCCCUCAUCGGGUUACCGAAUUCAGACAAACUCCGAAUGCCAAAGACUUAUCCAUGGGAGUCAGACUGCGAGUGAUAAGAUCCGUAGUCGAAAGGGAAACAGCCCAGACCACCAGCUAAGGUCCCAAAGUAUACGUUAAGUGGAAAAGGAUGUGGAGUUGCUUAGACAACCAGGAUGUUGGCUUAGAAGCAGCCACCAUUUAAAGAGUGCGUAAUAGCUCACUGGUCGAGUGACUCUGCGCCGAAAAUGUACCGGGGCUAAACGUAUCACCGAAGCUGUGGAUUGACACCUYUAGGUGUCAGUGGUAGGAGAGCGUUCUAAGGACUGCGAAGCUAGACCGUAAGGACUGGUGGAGUGCUUAGAAGUGAGAAUGCCGGUAUGAGUAGCGAAAGAUGGGUGAGAAUCCCAUCCACCGAAUGCCUAAGGUUUCCUGAGGAAGGCUCGUCCGCUCAGGGUUAGUCGGGACCUAAGUCGAGGCCGAUAGGCGUAGACGAUGGACAACAGGUUGAUAUUCCUGUACCACCUCUUUUCCGUUUGAGCAAUGGGGGGACGCAGGAGGAUAGGGUAAGCGCACUGCUGGAUAUGUGCGUCUAAGCAGUUAGGCUGAUGAUGAGGCAAAUCCCAUCAUCGYKWAGGCUGAGCUGUGAUAGCGAGCGAAUUAUAGUAGCGAAGUUCCUGAUUCCACACUGCCAAGAAAAGCCUCUAGCGAGGAAAAAGGUGCCCGUACCGCAAACCGACACAGGUAGGCGAGGAGAGAAUCCUAAGGUGAGCGAGAGAACUCUCGUUAAGGAACUCGGCAAAAUGACCCCGUAACUUCGGGAGAAGGGGUGCUCUGGUAGGGUGCAAGCCCGAGAGAGCCGCAGUGAAUAGGCCCAGGCGACUGUUUAGCAAAAACACAGGUCUCUGCGAAGCCGUAAGGCGAAGUAUAGGGGCUGACGCCUGCCCGGUGCUGGAAGGUUAAGAGGAGUGCUUAGCGCAAGCGAAGGUGCGAAUCGAAGCCCCAGUAAACGGCGGCCGUAACUAUAACGGUCCUAAGGUAGCGAAAUUCCUUGUCGGGUAAGUUCCGACCCGCACGAAAGGCGUAACGAUCUGGGCACUGUCUCAACGAGAGACUCGGUGAAAUUAUAGUACCUGUGAAGAUGCAGGUUACCCGCGACAGGACGGAAAGACCCCGUGGAGCUUUACUGUAGCCUGAUAUUGAAUUUUGGUACAGCUUGUACAGGAUAGGUAGGAGCCUUGGAAGCCGGAGCGCCAGCUUCGGUGGAGGCAUCGGUGGGAUACUACCCUGGCUGUAUUGAAAUUCUAACCCGCGCCCCUUAUCGGGGUGGGAGACAGUGUCAGGUGGGCAGUUUGACUGGGGCGGUCGCCUCCUAAAGAGUAACGGAGGCGCCCAAAGGUUCCCUCAGAAUGGUUGGAAAUCAUUCGCAGAGUGUAAAGGCACAAGGGAGCUUGACUGCGAGACCUACAAGUCGAGCAGGGACGAAAGUCGGGCUUAGUGAUCCGGUGGUUCCGCAUGGAAGGGCCAUCGCUCAACGGAUAAAAGCUACCCCGGGGAUAACAGGCUUAUCUCCCCCAAGAGUCCACAUCGACGGGGAGGUUUGGCACCUCGAUGUCGGCUCAUCGCAUCCUGGGGCUGUAGUCGGUCCCAAGGGUUGGGCUGUUCGCCCAUUAAAGCGGUACGCGAGCUGGGUUCAGAACGUCGUGAGACAGUUCGGUCCCUAUCCGUCGUGGGCGCAGGAAAUUUGAGAGGAGCUGUCCUUAGUACGAGAGGACCGGGAUGGACGCACCGCUGGUGUACCAGUUGUCUUGCCAAAGGCAUCGCUGGGUAGCUAUGUGCGGAAGGGAUAAGUGCUGAAAGCAUCUAAGCAUGAAGCCCCCCUCGAGAUGAGAUUUCCCAUCACGUAUGUGAGUAAGAUCCCUAGAAGAUGACUAGGUAGAUAGGUCAGAGAUGGAAGCAUGGCGACAUGUGGAGUUGACUGAUACUAAUCGAUCGAGGACUUAACCACAA